UAGAGAUCUAUGUAAAGUCCACCACCUGGGUUCAAACAAGCAACUUCACAAAUAUAAGAUGGAGGAGAAAUGGCCAAACUGACACCUCAUGUGAAGAAAGAUCUGGGACAGUUAACAGACUGCAAGAUCAAUGAGGAAGAGAAAAUAAAGUCUGAAAACUGCAGACCAGUGAGCUUGACAACUCAUGGGAAACUUUUAGAAUGUAUCAUCGAAGAGAUGGUUGGUGAAUAUUUAUUAAGCAUGAAGGUUGGACUGUUUGGAAACCAUGAUCACCGGGCAUGAACAUUAUGAGCCAUCUUGAAGACAUCAUGCACCAUCAUAAACAUUCUACAGAAGUAAACCUUACAUUGCCUCUCAUUGCAAUAGUAAGGCUACUUUCUGAUUUGACUUUAUAUUACUAUUUGUUUAUCUGGUAGUUUUAAAAAUAAACUGGUUGGCGACACUGGUCAUUCAGUGAAGGUUCUAUGAGAGUAUAGUCAGUGUACCAGUGGCAGAAGAGAAGAAAAUUGUAUUUGAAGAGAUUCUUUUCUUGCAAAGAUGAUUUCACAUGUAAACAUUGUUGAAAACAAAGCAAAAUAUACAAUUGAACUUAAAGUACAUUUAUCAUUUAAUAUAACACUUGUCAUUACUCAGUAGAAAAGUAAAUAUUUUAUAUCCUAAGAGGCUAGUCACUUAAAUUGAUUGGUUAGAUGGCUAAAAGUUAAAAGAAAAUGAAUUUCCAUUUCUUAGUAAAAGAGUUUAUAAAAUUCUCCAAACAUUUUUUUUUACUACGUUUGUGUGAAGGAACAUUUUUUUCUUCAUUGUUGUUUUAAAUCAAAAUAUAGAAAUAAAUUCUCUGCAGAACCAGAGAACCAGGUUUAAGACUAUAUUUGUCUGCCAUUGAAGCAAACAUUGCAAAUCUUUGUUAAAAUAAAAGUCUAACACUGAAAUUGCAUUGA